rnacentral:rRNA from 1 species
UGAAUACGAGACGCUAAGGCGUCGAAGUAGUGUAUGUCAUACUUCCAAGAAAAGCUUGCACUGUCAUAGAUAAAAAACGCCUGUACCAUAACCGACACAGGUGGGUAGGUAGAGUAUACUAAGGGGCGCGAGAUAACUCUCUCUAAGGAACUCGGCAAAAUAACUCCGUAACUUCGGGAGAAGGAGUGCCUUAUUCGUAAGGUUGCAAUAACAAGAUCCAAGCAACUGUUUAUCAAAAACACAGGUCUCCGCUAAAUCGUAAGACGAUGUAUGGGGGCUGACGCCUGCCCAGUGCCAGAAGGUUAAAGAAGUUGGUUAGCAAUUGCGAAGCUGAUAACUGAAGCCCUGGUGAACGGCGGCCGUAACGAUAACGGUCCUAAGGUAGCGAAAUUCCUUGUCGGGUAAGUUCCGACCCGCACGAAAGGCGUAAUGAUUUGGAUACUGUCUCGGAGAGGGGCUCGGUGAAAUAGACUUGUCUGUGAAGAUGCGGACUACCUGCACCAGGACAGAAAGACCCUAUGAAGCUUUACUGUAACUUGAAAUUGAAAUUGGACUUUAUUCGCGCAGUAUAGGUGGGAGGCGUUGAUUAUAAUCUUGUGGGAUUAUUGGAGCCAUCAGUGAGAUACCACUCUUGUAAUGUUAGAUUUCUAACUUUGAAUCAUUAUCUGGUCAAAGAACAGUUUCAGGCGGGCAGUUUGACUGGGGCGGUCGCCUCCUAAACGGUAACGGAGGCGUACAAAGGUUUCCUCUGAACGGUUAGAAAUCGUAUCUAGAGUGUAAAGGCAUAAGGAAGCUUGACUGUGAGACCUACAAGUCGAGCAGGGACGAAAGUCGGUCUUAGUGAUCUGACGGUACUGAGUGGAAAGGCCGUCACUCAACGGAUAAAAGUUACUCUAAGGAUAACAGGCUGAUCUCCCCCAAGAGUUCACAUCGACGGGGAGGUUUGGCACCUCGAUGUCGGCUCAUCGCAUCCUGGGGCGGUAGUACGUCCCAAGGGUUGGGCUGUUCGCCCAUGAAAGCGGUACGCGAGCUGGGUUCAGAACGUCGUGAGACAGUUCGGUCCAUAUCCGGUGUAGGCGUUAGAAUAUUGAGAGGAGCCUUCUUUAGUACGAGAGGACCGAGAAGGACAUACCUCUGGUGUACCAGUUAUCGUGCCAACGGUAAACGCUGGGUAGCUAUGUAUGGAGUGGAUAACCGCUGAAAGCAUCUAAGUGGGAAGCCCACCUCAAGAUAAGUAUUCUC